AAAACGUCACAGACCAAUCAGCACAGAGUAUAAUGGACAUGUCUUCCUGUCUUUGGGUCCAUCUUGAAGUCCUGAGCCAGCAGGAAAGGUUCUGUGGAGAUGACAGAAGUUCUGCAGAGGAACAGAUCAUGUCUUCAUGUCCUCCUUCUGUCUUCCUCCAGGACAAAACCUGAUCCCACCAUCAACAGAACCUCAGACUGUGUGGUUCUUUGUUCACAGGGCGGAUCCAUUACAGACAGCUGGGCAGAAACAGCAGACAGGACUUCAGUUGACGUCCACAGAGCGACUUUAUAUUUAGCUGUGGAGCUAAUCCAUUAUGAAGCAGAAAACCACCAGAGAUCAUCUGAACUAACUCUAACUGGCUGAAGGAGGCGUCUCCAAACUUGGAGCUGUUUAUUAGUAGGAAGCUUUUACCAGCCUGUGUUUAUGUGUGUACAUGUUUUCUGCUCGCUCUCAGCUUGAAUCCUGCAGGAGGAAGACUUACAGGAGAUGUUAAACACUACUGAGAUGAUGGAGAGUCAGAACGGACAUCUGUUUGAGAAGGUCAUAGUGAACUAUGACCUCACUACUGCCUCCAGCGAGCUGCAGUUGGCACUAUAGCAACUGGAGACCCACUGGGUUCCAGCCAGCUGGACUCACUCCUGAGACCCAGACUGACUGGGAGAGGAGGGAAGGGAAGGGCUGCAACAAACAAUAUGUAUUUUAAGUUGGAUUCAGACCUCAGCUGCUGUCUGGAUGGUGAUCUCCAGGUUAGAGAAAGCCUGACAGGUUUACAGCUGAGAAUGUCUCUCUUAAUGUGGGCUCAGGAAGCAUUUCUGGAUCACACAACACCAACCUGGAAUGUUUUUGGUCAGUGGCCCAGAGGUCACUUUGUAGAGUUCUGGCAGUAAUCAUCCUGUUCCACCUUGCACAAAAGAACAGAUACCGGUCCUACUGAUGGGUUAUGGACCUCCGACAGCCUUGUCCAGCUGUCCAAAAACAUCUUAUUUGAAAGAAAUUAAUAUAUUUUCUAGAUAUUUCCAGGACUUAAGCACUUUUUAUGAAAGUGUUGGACUUUAAGGGAACUUGAUCGUAUCUGGAUCUCCAUCUUUCUUUUUAACAACAGAGACCUUUCUUCUUCCUACAAAGCUUCUCUAGUUAUUUUAUUUAGCUGUUGUAUGUUCCAUCCUGGAGCUGUUUGAAACACCAGCUUUCAUACAGGGUGUCCAGCAGACCAAUUUUGCCAUUUAUAGAACUGGGCACAUUUGUCUUUAACAAGAAAGUUUCACUGUUGUGUUUUAUUAGGGUGGAGUUUUUAUUUUUAUUCAUAUAAACAUGGUUUCAGUGAGGCUGCUAACAGCAGCUCCACAGCAGACUUCCAGGAUCUUCAGGAAGAAACUGCUCCUGAUAUAAUGAGCAUCAGAAGUUUAUCACUGGAGUCACCCAGUCUUAGUCACUCAUACGUAGUUUUUUAUUCGCUACUUUCUCAAGUAUUUAUCAGAGAGAUGCUUUUAUUUCUUCUGAACUAGUUUCCAAAUUUUCUGCUUUGCUGCUUUUGCUCAGACGAGGUCACAUCUAUGUUCACAGUUCAGUAGUUUCUCAACUGGGGGACCCCAUGUUAUACCCCCCUGAACAGGGGGAGAAAAUCAGUAUCAAAAACAUAGCGACUUCUCAGGUCUGACAGUGUUUAUUGAAUGUUGACACCUAGCCCAGGCUUCCCCUAGUGGUUACCAAAACUGAUACGCAACAGAGGUAGCCACUGGUAAAGAUCCUUAUUCUAAGAAACAAUUAUUUUUAUCACAAUCACCAACAGUAUUAUAAUAAGAAAAUGCAUUUCAGCUUGUACUGUUUUUUUCAACUAUUACAUCCACACCCACAGUGGCUCACAACACAAGUUCAAAUCUAUAAAUGACUAAUUAAGAAAAUAUACUAGAUUUUGUAUUAAACAAAGAAAAUUACGUGUAACUCUUCAAAGGUUGAAUAGAUUUCUGCAUUUAACAAAGCUCCUGGUGAUCUGUGUGGAGGUUUAGAGGUUUUUCCUACUGAGUGUCACUGGAAUGUAUUUCAGAAAGAAAAUAUUCCAGUUCAUACAUUUUAUCUUGUAAAUGAGAGCACUAGAGAGCAGUAAGUCAUUCAAUAAAUAGUUUCAUUACUUGCAUACUAUCCCAGCUGAAUAUGAAGAACUUCAUCUGUACUCCAACCACUGUUAAUUUAUGAGUCCUGGUGGUUUAUGACAUUGUAGUAUAGCUCACUGGGGCUGGAGCUCCUCAGUCUCACCUGAAACAUAAAGUAUACAGGUGCAUAUAGUGCCUGACCAGAAGCAAUAUUUUAUGUAUCCCAUUUAUCAAAUAAAAUGAAUCAAAAACA